AAGGCUGAGAUACGAUGUCGAGCUACUACGGUAGUGAAGUCAUUGAUGCCAUGCUUCCGGGAAAAGCUUCUAAGCUUCAGAUUAUAAGAAAUCGUACCCCAAACCGACACAGGUGAUCAGGUAGAGAAUACCAAGGCGCUUGAGAGAACUCGGGUGAAGGAACUAGGCAAAAUGGUACCGUAACUUCGGGAGAAGGUACGCUCCUAGCGGUGAUGAGACUUGCUCUCUAAGCUGCCGGGAGUCGCAGAUACCAGGUGGCUGCAACUGUUUAUUAAAAACACAGCACUGUGCAAAAUCGAAAGAUGACGUAUACGGUGUGACGCCUGCCCGGUGCCGGAAGGUUAAUUGAUGGGGUUAGACUUCGGUCGAAGCUCUUGAUCGAAGCCCCGGUAAACGGCGGCCGUAACUAUAACGGUCCUAAGGUAGCGAAAUUCCUUGUCGGGUAAGUUCCGACCUGCACGAAUGGCGUAAUGAUGGCCACGCUGUCUCCACCCGAGACUCAGUGAAAUUGAAAUCGCAGUGAAGAUGCUGUGUACCCGCGGCUAGACGGAAAGACCCCGUGAACCUUUACUAUAGCUUGGCACUGAACAUUGACCCUACAUGUGUAGGAUAGGUGGGAGACGUUGAAGCAACCGCGCCAGUGGUUGUGGAGUCAAUCUUGAAAUACCACCCUUGUAUGCUUGAUGUUCUAACGUUGGCCCCUUAUCGGGGUUACGGACAGUGCCUGGUGGGUAGUUUGACUGGGGCGGUCUCCUCCCAAAGAGUAACGGAGGAGCACGAAGGUGGGCUAAUCACGGUCGGACAUCGUGAGGUUAGUGCAAUGGCAUAAGCCCGCUUGACUGCGAGAAUGACAAUUCGAGCAGGUGCGAAAGCAGGUCAUAGUGAUCCGGUGGUUCUGAAUGGAAGGGCCAUCGCUCAACGGAUAAAAGGUACUCCGGGGAUAACAGGCUGAUACCGCCCAAGAGUUCAUAUCGACGGCGGUGUUUGGCACCUCGAUGUCGGCUCAUCACAUCCUGGGGCUGAAGUCGGUCCCAAGGGUAUGGCUGUUCGCCAUUUAAAGUGGUACGCGAGCUGGGUUUAGAACGUCGUGAGACAGUUCGGUCCCUAUCUGCCGUGGGCGUUGGAUGAUUGAGAGGGGCUGCUCCUAGUACGAGAGGACCGGAGUGGACGAACCGCUGGUGUUCGGGUUGUAUCGCCAGAUGCAUUGCCCGGUAGCUAAGUUCGGAAUCGAUAACCGCUGAAAGCAUCUAAGCGGGAAGCGAGCCUCAAGAUGAGUCAUCCCUAGACCUUUAAGGUCUCUAAAGGGUUGUUGAAGACUACAACGUUGAUAGGUCAGGUGUGUAAGUGCUGCGAGGCAUUGAGCUAACUGAUACUAAUUGCCCGUGAGGCUUAACCAUACAACACCCAAGGGGUUU
rnacentral:rRNA from 1 species